rnacentral:rRNA from 1 species
GGUCUUCGGGCCGUUUGCCUUGGUGACUCUGAAUAAAUUAUGGCAGAUCGCACGGCCCCCGAGCCGGCGACGCAUCUUUCAAAUGUCUGCCUUAUCAACUGUCGAUGGUAGGUUCUGCGCCUACCAUGGUUGUAACGGGUAACGGGGAAUCAGGGUUCGAUUCCGGAGAGGGAGCCUGAGAAACGGCUACCACAUCCAAGGAAGGCAGCAGGCGCGCAAAUUACCCACUCCCGGCACGGGGAGGUAGUGACGAAAAAUAACGAUACGGGACUCAUCCGAGGCCCCGUAAUCGGAAUGAGUACACUUUAAAUCCUUUAACGAGUAUCCAUUGGAGGGCAAGUCUGGUGCCAGCAGCCGCGGUAAUUCCAGCUCCAAUAGCGUAUAUUAAAGUUGUUGCGGUUAAAAAGCUCGUAGUCGGACUUGUGUCCCACGCUGCCGGUUCACCGCCCGUCGGUGUUUAACUGGCAUGCACGUGCGGACGUCCUGCCGGUGGCCCGAGCCGGCGCGGGUCUCGCACCCGUCGUCCGGGGAAGGCCUAUCAUACCCGUCGCGGUGCUCUUAACCGAGUGUCUCGAUGGGCCGGCACGUUUACUUUGAACAAAUUAGAGUGCUUAAAGCAGGCAGCAUCCGCCUGAAUACCGAGUGCAUGGAAUAAUGGAAUAGGACCUCGGUUCUAUUUUGUUGGUUUUCGGAAUCCCCGAGGUAAUGAUCAAUAGGACAGACGGSGRYRWUCGUAUUGCGACGUU